rnacentral:rRNA from 1 species
CCUACGGGAGGCAGCAGUGGGGAAUAUUGCACAAUGGGCGCAAGCCUGAUGCAGCGACGCCGCGUGAGUGAAGAAGUCCUUCGUUAUGUAAAGCUCUAUUAGCAGGGAAGAAAAUGACGGUACUUGAGUAUGAAGUCCCGGCUAACUCCGUGCCAGCAGCCGCGGGAAUACGUAGGGGGCAGGCGUUAUCCGGAUUUACUGGGGGUAAAGGGAGCGUAGGCGGCAGGUCAAGUCUGGUGUGAAAGGCGGGGGCUCAACCGUCGGUCUGCUCUGGAAACUGGACGGCUGGAGGGCAGGAGAGGUAAGUGGAAUUCCUGGUGUAGCGGUGAAAUGCGUAGAUAUUAGGAGGAACACCAGUGGCGAAGGCGGCUUUCUGGACUGUAACUGACGUUGAGGCUCGAAAGCGUGGGGAGCAAACAGGAUUAGAUACCCCAGUAGUC